rnacentral:rRNA from 1 species
AUUGAACGCUGGCGGCAUGCCUUACACAUGCAAGUCGAACGGUAACAGGUCUUCGGAUGCUGACGAGUGGCGAACGGGUGAGUAAUACAUCGGAACGUGCCUAGUAGUGGGGGAUAACUACUCGAAAGAGUGGCUAAUACCGCAUGAGAUCUACGGAUGAAAGCAGGGGAUCGCAAGACCUUGUGCUACUAGAGCGGCCGAUGGCAGAUGAGGUAGUUGGUGGGAUAAAAGCUUACCAAGCCGACGAUCUGUAGCUGGUCUGAGAGGACGAUCAGCCACACUGGGACUGAGAGACGGACCAGACUCCUACGGGAGGCAGCAGAGGGGAAUGUUGGACAAUGGGCGCAAGCCUGAUCCAGCAAUGCCGCGUGCAGGAUGAAGGCCUUCGGGUUGUAAACUGCUUUUGUACGGAACGAAAAGCCCUGGGUUAAUACCCUGGGGUCAUGACGGUACCGUAAGAAUAAGCACCGGCUAACUACGUGCCAGCCGCCGCGGUAACAC